GUGGCCCCAACAUCGCCGCAACCACCUUCUGCGGCGGCGGCUCAGGGGCCAAGCGCUCCCUGGCCAGUGCAGCAGGCGGGGGGAGGCGAAAGGGCCCCUGCGCCUUUAAGGCCACCUGGCUGGCGAGCCCCGCGUAGAGUGCACCGAGCGCAGGCCGGGGACAGGCGGCGGUGCAGGACGGAAGAUUAUGCAGAAAACCAAGAAACAAUUCUGACCAAAUCAGGGAAAGAAAAUAAAAGCCAUUGAAAUGAGUGAGAUUUCAAAGUAAAUGAGAUAAAGAAAAUGAAUUUGAGGAUGUGGAAAAUUCAGAGAAAGCUGUCUGAGGAUUCAGAGACUGGAGAUAAUGCUGCCCGCUUCUUGUUUACAAUGUCACCUGAAAGUGAGAACAGGCGUUCGCGUGGUGCUGUUGUAGCCGGCGUUGCAAGGUAUUUAUGUGCCAGAUGCGCUAAAGAUUCACAUGUCCCUUCACACUUC